GAUCAUGCUCAGAUUGAACGCUGGCGGCAGGCUUAACACAUGCAAGUCGAACGGUAACAUAAAGAAGCUUGCUUCUUUGAUGACGAGUGGCGGACGGGUGAGUAAUGCUUGGGAAUCUAGCUUAUGGAGGGGGAUAACUACGGGAAACUGUAGCUAAUACCGCGUAGUAUCGGAAGAUGAAAGUGUGGGACCUUCGGGCCACAUGCCAUAGGAUGAGCCCAAGUGGGAUUAGGUAGUUGGUG
rnacentral:rRNA from 1 species